UUUUGUUUAGCAGAUUGUAGCUUCAAUGGAUGCCAGAAAUAUGUUGAUGAAAAACUGGCAGAUACUAUUUUGUGCAUUAUGCUGGUGAAGACAGCAGUGCAAGAAUAGGUGAAGAUGGAAUCAAGAAAUGCAAAACAGGAGUGAGUCCAUUUAGUACUGGAAAAACCAUGGAAGAGGUUUCUGCUGGUUUUGGUGUUGCUUUUCCUGACAUUCAACUACUGGACAAAGACACAGCUGUCAAAUGAAAACAAUAUUCAAGCCAGUGAACCAGAUGAUGAAGAUUUUGUCCUGUUUGAGCUCCUCAAGCCUCCCAAAGAUGCUUCUUAUGAGAUUCCAACCCUACAGAUUCUCUAUUUGAAAGAAGGAAGGAAGGAAGGUAUUCCAAGGCCUUAAUGCCAUCACUGAGCAAUAUUUUUUCAAACUAAGGAAGGAGAAAGGGAUAAAUGUUCCAAGAGGGUGUUACCAUGCAGUGAUGACAACAGAAAAAAGGUUAAUUUUGAUUAAUGGAGGCAGGUAAGGAUGGGUAGGUUGAGACAAAGAUUUUUCAUUACAAGUGGGAUAGAGCCUUGGAAUUUUGGACCAAGGAGACCACAGAACUGAUGUGGCAAGUAUCUUAAAGCAAGUUGAUAGUGAUGGAUGGGUCUUAUUGAGCAUUACAAAACAGCAUCAUUAUGGAAUGUGGAGAGACUGGAAAUGGAGGCAACUUGAGGAGAAAGACUUUUUGCAAUUUUAAAUAAAAUCAGUAAAGGAAAGCUAUUUGGCACAGUGUAAUACUAAUAAUUAAAUACCUAACAGGUCAUGCGUUCACUCUAACAGUUUCAAUUGGGUUUUGAAGCAUGCCUAAUUCAAGUUAUAUCCAAAAUUCCACAGCUCCAAAUUGUGAAUAGUACCUAGACAUGGCCAGAGAACAUCAAUAGAGAAUGUGACCUCUUAAGCAUGUUCACAUCAGACCCAUGAAUUUGUCCACAAAACCUCCUUUGGAGUUCUUUAGUUCCAGAGUUUCAUAUCCGGUGCAUUUCCAGAGCAGUAAAAUUUUAAAAAAUGACACAAACAUUUAAAUUGCAAAGAAUUUAUUUGAAAUCUUUAUGUUUACAGCAACUCAUAUAAAAAAGAAAUCUUACCAACCAUUAUGAGUGAAUGGGUGAAUAAAAUAGCCUUGACUCCUCGAUCUGGUGUCAACUGCUUUAUUUUAUUCAAAAGUAUAUAAGGGCAAAUUUGAAGGACAGAGUUACUUUCUGUAAUCUGUCAAAUAGUAUUGAACAGUUAGAGCCAAAUAGUUGCAAGUGAGUAAAAGGAUAGAAUGGAUUUAUUGUAUAUUAGUGCAGUGUAGUCUACUUUAUAUUUCACAAAUUCCAAAAAAUCAGUAUUUCACCUGAAGUUAUUUACUUGAAUUAUUUGUACUGAAGAUGUUUAUU